CUAUCGGUAGGGGGAAUUUCAAGAGUCCAAGAGAGAAUUUCAAAAGCGGUAAGAUAAUAUUUAUUUUAUUUUAGAUCUACGUGAUUUAUGGACACGGUCGGAAGAAAAGAUGGAUUUAAACGGUGCAAGCCGAAUCUUGGGAAUAAGAAAAUGUGUUACUACUUCGAUCCACGCAAUCUGACUGGCUUCGACGCAUGUCGCCUACGCAUUUUCUCGCUUCAUCGUCGAAACAAAGGAAGCCCGGUUACCGGGUCAAAGGUGACAAACCACCAAUUCAGAAAAUUGCCCUGCUAAUACAUACAUCCGCGCAAAGCAUACAUAGUUCUAUAUUUACCUAAAGUGUUUACGAAAAUCUACUCUAUGAAUAGGAAAGAAC
rnacentral:misc_RNA from 1 species